rnacentral:snRNA from 1 species
AUCGCUUCUUGGCCUUUUGGCUAAGAUCAAGUGUAGUAUCUGUUCUUAUCAGUUUAAUAAAAGUUAGUGCCCGAGACAGUGAGCAAGCAAACACAUAUGCAAUAUCCUCCUAGAGCAGCGGUUCUCAACCUGUGGGUCGCGACCCCUUUGGGGGUCGAAUGACCCUUUCACAGGGGUCACCUAAG